rnacentral:rRNA from 1 species
CAGGAGGCGAUGAAGGACGUGGCACGCUGCGAAAAGCCAUGGGGAGCCGCGAGCAGGCUUUGAUCCGUGGAUAUCCGAAUGGGGCAACCCACCCGCAAGGGUAUCUUCACAUGAAUCCAUAGUGUGGAGAGGCAAACCCGGGGAACUGAAACAUCUCAGUACCUGGAGGAAAAGACAUCAACAGAGAUUCCGCUAGUAGUGGCGAGCGAACGCGGAGCAGGCCAGUGGUCAAGCUGGGACAAGCAGAACGGUCUGGAAAGUCCGGCCAUAGCGGGUGAUAGCCCCGUAUGCGUAAAGACAGUUUGAUCCUUGAGUAAGGCGGGACACGUGAAAUCCUGUCUGAACAUGGGGGGACCACCCUCCAAGCCUAAAUACUCCCCUGGUGACCGAUAGCGAACAAGUACCGUGAGGGAAAGGUGAAAAGCACCCCGAAAGGGGAGUG